AUACGUAGGUGACAAGCGUUAUCCGGAUUUACUGGGCGUAAAGGGCGUGUAGGCGGUCUUGCAAGUCAGAAGUGAAAUUCCUGAGCUCAACUCGGGCGCUGCUUCUGAAACUGCAGGACUUGAGUGCUGGAGGGGAUAGCGGAAUUCCUAGUGGAGCGGUAAAAUGCGCAGAUAUUAGGAAGAACACCGGUGGCGAAGGCGGCUAUCUGGACAGUAACUGACGCUGAGGCGCGAAAGCGUGGGGAGCAAACAGGAUUAGAUACCCUGGUAGUCCACGCCGUAAACGAUAAAUACUAGGUGUAGGGGGUAUCGACUCCCUCUGUGCCGCAGUUAACACAAUAAGUAUUCCGCCUGGGGAGUACGGCCGCAAGGUUGAAACUCAAAUGAAUUGACGGGG
rnacentral:rRNA from 1 species